rnacentral:rRNA from 1 species
UGAGGAAUAUUGGACAAUGGGCGAAAGCCUGAUCCAGCCAUGCCGCGUGAGUGAAGAAGGCCCUAGGGUUGUAAAGCUCUUUCAGUGGGGAAGAUAAUGACGGUACCCACAGAAGAAGCCCCGGCUAACUUCGUGCCAGCAGCCGCGGUAAUACGAAGGGGGCUAGCGUUGUUCGGAAUUACUGGGCGUAACGCGCACGUAGGCGGAUCGUUAAGUCGGGGGUGAAAUCCUGGGGCGCAACCUAAGAACGGCCUUCGAUACUGGCGAUCUCGAGUCCGGGAGAGGUGAGUGGAAUUCCGAGUGUAGAGGUGAAAUUCGUAGAUAUUCGGAGGAACACCAGUGGCGAAGGUGGCUCACUGGCCCGGUACUGACGCUGAGGUGCGAAAGCGUGGGGAGCAAACA